CAUAUUUUCCCAUAGGAGCAAUGUUGUCAUAAAGGGCCUUGUUCUUGGCUGAGAAUUUCACAUCCAAUAAAUCAAACCGAUGACCAACAAUAUGGCGGAAAAGCAGAACCAAACAAUAAAAUUACACUUCAAAGUCCAAGGAUUUCAGAACUCAAAGGGACCUCAGAGACGAUAGAUUUGCAGAGGAUGCAGCAGGUGAGUCCUGUGUACGUCAGAGGAGCUUCUACGCUGCACAGCGGCCACUCGGGGGGACAUUACUGGCCUCGAUCACAUCAUGGAGACCACAUGGAUGCUGGGAAUGCACUUCCCAUUGGCCGAGCUGAGGACAGGAGCAGGCUGUGGUAGCAUCUCUUCCUCAAAGAUGAGUCAGCAGUCAUUUGAAGAGGAGGAAAGACUGGGUUGGGGAAGAAUCUGGGGCAAAAUGAAGCCACAUUGAGAACGAGGAGACAAGAAGAUGCUGAGGCCUCAGAUCAGGAGGACUUGAGUGUUACAGCUUUCGAAUUUGUCUAGCAGGCU
rnacentral:lncRNA from 1 species